rnacentral:rRNA from 1 species
UACGUAGGGUGCGAGCGUUGUCCGGAUUUACUGGGCGUAAAGAGCUCGUAGGUGGCUUGUCGCGUCGUCUGUGAAAGUCUGGGGCUUAACUCCGGGUGUGCAGGCGAUACGGGCUGGCUUGAGUGCUGUAGGGGAGACUGGAAUUCCUGGUGUAGCGGUGGAAUGCGCAGAUAUCAGGAGGAACACCGAUGGCGAAGGCAGGUCUCUGGGCAGUCACUGACGCUGAGGAGCGAGAGCAUGGGUAGCGAAC